UACCAGCACCCCGAGUGGUCGGGACGUUUAUCGGGCCUAAAGCAUCCGUAGCCGGUCCUGCAAGUCUUCCGUUAAAUCCAGCUGCUCAACAGAUGGGCUGCGGAGGAUACUACAGGGCUAGGAGGCGGGAGAGGCAAGCGGUACUUUAUGGGUAGGGGUAAAAUCCGUUGAUCCAUAGAAGACCACCAGUGGCGAAGGCGGCUUGCCAGAACGCGCUCGACGGUGAGGGAUGAAAGCUGGGGGAGCAAACCGG
rnacentral:rRNA from 1 species